GACGAACGCUGGCGGCGUGCCUAAUACAUGCAAGUUGAGCGCUGAAGGUUGGUACUUGUACCAACUGGAUGAGCAGCAAACGGGUGAGUAACGCGUGGGGAAUCUGCCUUUGAGCGGGGGACAACAUUUGGAAACGAAUGCUAAUACCGCAUAAAAACUUUAAACACAAGUUUUAAGUUUGAAAGAUGCAAUUGCAUCACUCAAAGAUGAUCCCGCGUUGUAUUAGCUAGUUGGUGAGGUAAAGGCUCACCAAGGCGAUGAUACAUAGCCGACCUGAGAGGGUGAUCGGCCACAUUGGGACUGAGACACGGCCCAAACUCCUACGGGAGGCAGCAGUAGGGAAUCUUCGGCAAUGGACGAAAGUCUGAACGAGCAACGCCGCGUGAGUGAAGAAGGUUUUCGGAUCGUAAAACUCUGUUGGUAGAGAAGAACGUUGGUGAGAGUGGAAAGCUCAUCAAGUGACGGUAACUACCCAGAAAGGGACGGCUAACUACGUG
rnacentral:rRNA from 1 species